CCUACGGGCGGCAGCAGUAGGGAAUCUUUCACAAUGGGCGAAAGCCUGAUGGAGCAACGCCGCGUGGGUGAAGAAGGUCUUCGGAUCGUAAAACCCUGUUGUUAGAGAAGAAAGUGCGUGAGAGUAACUGUUCACGUUUCGACGGUAUCUAACCAGAAAGCCACGGCUAACUACGUGACAGCAGCCGCGGUAAUACGUAGGUGGCAAGCGUUAUCCGGAUUUAUUGGGCGUAAAGGGAACGCAGGUGGUCUUUUAAGUCUGAUGUGAAAGCCUUCGGCUUAACCGGAGUAGUGCAUUGGAAACUGGGAGACUUGAGUGCGGAAGAGGAGAGCGGAACUCCAGGUGUAGCGGUGAAAUGCGUAGAUAUAUGGAAGAACACCAGUGGCGAAGGCGGCUCUCUGGUCUGUAACUGACGCUGAGGUUCGAAAGCGUGGGUAGCAAACAGGAUUAGAUACCCCAGUAGUC
rnacentral:rRNA from 1 species